UACGGGGGGGGCAAGCGUUGUUCGGAAUUACUGGGCGUAAAGGGCUCGUAGGCGGCCAACUAAGUCGGAUGUGAAAUCCCCAGGCUUAACCUGGGAACUGCAUCCGAUACUGGAUGGCUUGAAUCCGGGAGAGGGAUGCAGAAUUCCAGGUGUAGCGGUGAAAUGCGUAGAUAUUAGGAAGAACACCAGUGGCGAAGGCGGCUCACUGGUCCGGUACUGACGCUGAGGUGCGAAAGCGUGGGGAGCAAACAGG
rnacentral:rRNA from 1 species